rnacentral:ncRNA from 1 species
UAAAGAAAAUGGCAAACUUAUCGAAAGGUAGGGACGCAAAACUUCAGGCCUAAGGCAGAAAUGUGAUGGCAGCUGGGUUACCUAA